GUUUCUUCAAACACUCUGCUUUUUCACCUUUAUCGGCUGGCGGAGGAGAUAUGAGUCAAUUUAAACUGGAUUCUUUUUCAGCGUACAUGAAUGACAAAGUCAACCGACCAUGUUCAAGAAACAUGAUUUUGAUUAAACCCAGUCAUUGGAAUAUGCUGAUUCGAUGAAACGCUAAACAGUCAAAGACAUGGCUGCAAUUUUGGAUCACAGAGAUUGAGAGACUGCAUCAUGGCACACCUCCACCUGUCACCUUCCUCCGCUGCCUGUCCAACAACACUCACACAGCAAGAGCAUCGCAUCAACCUGCAUAGAGAUCAUCUCCAAAACAUCAGCUGCUUUACAGGUACAAUCAUAAAUUCCUCAAGGAUUGUAGUUUUGGGUAAUUUUUUUCAUAAAAUGGCCAGUGUUCUAUAUGUAUUCCAUUUAUUAUGACCACUGCCUGUUUCCAGCUUCAAAAAUCACGUUUUCCAAUCCUCAUAAUUAUUUCCUUCCUGACAUGUUUGUUAACAAUUUCUAUUUUUUUGUAGUACUUGUUCUUUUAUAAUAAUGCUAUUCCUUAAUUAAUUAUGCACAAUUAUUGUCAAACAGUGGUUGAACUGCUGUUACACACUAUUAUAGGACGAAAAGUUGAAAAUGUAAUGUUCAAGCAUCACUUCCAAUUAUCCUGCACUUUGAUAAAUUGAGAAAAAUUGCAAUAUUCUGUAAAGAAUAUUCUACACAAGGAAAAUUACUGUGCAAUUUAUAAUUUAUGGUGAAACACUGAUAUAAUAAUAUAAUAGUAAUAAUAAUGAUGAUAAUAAUAAUUCACACAAGUUCUGUGAGGAAAUGUAUCUAUCUAUCUAUCUAUCUAUCUAGAUCUCUAUCUCUAUGUUGGUUUAAAAUUGUUAAAACUGGUUUGAAUUUUUCAAACUGGUUUGAAAAAUUUCAUACUUAAGUUUGAAAAAUUCAUAGUACCUUAGGGUUGGGUUUUGGGACAAGGUUGGGUACGGCUUUAUAUUCAUAGUACCUUGGCGUUAGGUUUAGGGAGAAGUUUGGGUACGGCUUUAUAUUCAUAGUACCUUGGGGUCAGGUCUAGGGACAAGGUUGGGAACGUCUUUAUAUUCUAACUACAGUAUAUUGUUAGGUAGUUGGUUAAAAAAGUGAUGAGUGUUUUAACCAGAAGGCAGUUUAUUGACAGUUAUGAUUGACAUUGUUUACAUGCAUAUGUGAACGAUACCUCGUGAUCAUAAUCAAAUGCAACAUUUGUUGCAGUACAAGCAUUUAGUCUGGUUGGGGCAAUAAGCCCUUUAAUGAUACCAAACUGUGUUACCACUUUUACAUAAUUACUUGUGGAAUCAAUCUCUGUAAUUUUGCCAAUGAGCAUAUUAGGAUGUAAUUUACUGACUUUGUCAGACUUAUGUAUUUGAAUAGCAACAAUGUCAUAUACAUUAAAUUUGAAUAUCUUUGCUUUCUGUGUUUGUUUUUUCAUUUUUUCAUUAUAUGUUUUCUGUGAUUCACAGAUUUUUUGACGCUUACAUUUCCUUCCCUCAUUGUCAAUGUGUUCUUCAAGUGGUACUGUUGGGUUGUCUUCUAGUUGUUUUUCCUGUUCAAGUGGUACUGUUGGGUUGUCUUUGAGUUGUUCUUCUUGUUCAAGUGGUACUGUUGGGUUGUCUUCUAGUUGUUCUUCUUGUUCAAGUCAUACUGUUGGGUUGUCUUCUAGUUGUUCUUCUUGUUCAAGUCAUACUGUUGGGUUGUCUUCUAGUUGUUCUUCUUGAACCUCUUGUCCAUCUUGUUCAAUUCUGUUGACCUCACGGUGGGCUUUAAACCCAAAGACAGCUUCGUACGGUGAACAUUUAAUAGCUCUAUGAUACGUUAUGUUCAUAGUAUAUGAGGCUUCCAUUGUUGCUUUGCACCAUUCACCAACACUUUAUUGCUUUGAGAUUAGUAUUGCUCGCAUGUCCUCCUUCCAUGUGCGGUUGCUUCUUUCUACAAGGCCUUGAGUAGUUGGUGUCCUUGGAGAUCCAUGGCAAAUUUCUAUGUUGUUUUCUUCACAGAAGGAAUUCAGCAUGGCAUUCGAAAACUCAGUACCGUUGUCACAAACUAUUUUCUUUGGAAAACCAAAUGAGUAGCAGUAGUUUUUAAGACCUUGUAAGACUUCAACUGCAUUCUUUUCCUUCAAUGGCCAACAAGUUAUGUACUUUGAAUGGUGAUCGAUAAUGUUUAGCACCCAUUGAUGGCGCUUACUGCAUUUGCACGGCGUGUUACGGAAAUCCAUUAGAUCUAACUCGAUUAAAGAGAGAAAUGCUGGCGCUUGAAAUGGUUUAGUAACCUCUUUAACAUGACUUGUUAUGGGUUUUUGUUCGGCGUGAUAUACAGUAUUUGUAUAUAGUAUUUGCACAACUGUACGAACACAUUGAUCACUUUCUGUGUGACUUCUGCAAAGUUAUCUUGGAUCCAUUUUUCAGUUUUUUGUCGUCCUCUGUGAGCCACUCUUUGGUACGUGCAAAUGACAGAUUUUGAUGUAGUUGGCUUUCACAUAGAACUGGCUUUCCUCCACUUGAAACUACUUCGUUUUUGGCAUUUAGGGUCCAUUUCUUUCUUUUUAUAGCUUCGAUUCCGGUCUUUGUCAUUUGGUUGCUUAUUCUACGUUCGUUGCCUUUUGCUUUUUCUUUAAGAUAGUCUAGAUUUCUUAGUCUUGCUUGCUGUUUUAUAGUAUCUAUUUGCUUCAAGAAUUCCUGGCUGUUUACACAGUCGGCCGAAUUUUAAUGUCAUUUGUGCAUAAAUUAUAAUACAUUGCCGACAAAAAAAUGAUAUGCAAACAAUUUCACCAACGAAAUCCUCGAUAGCACAGUUGGUGAUGCAUUGGAGUUUCAAUCUAAAGGUCAGUGGUUCAAAUCCUUGUGAAGGUAAGGUUUAUUUA